rfam:Talaromyces cellulolyticus DNA, scaffold: scf_tce0_033, strain Y-94, whole genome shotgun sequence.
GGGCGUUUGGUAUAGGGGUAUUACGCCUCAUUCGCAUUGAGGAGGUCGUGGGUUCGAUUCCCACAACGUCCA